CGAAAAUCAAAAAGUUUCAAUCUGCCCGCCUCUCCUCUCCUCUCCUCGCUUCUCUCUCUCACACUCAGAGCAGACUCAAACUUCCAUUUAAUUUUCCGGCGAUCAAGGAGUUAGGGAUCUCGCAAUUCAAUUCGAAGGAAAGAUGAGUGAAUACAGAAGCUUCGGCAGUAACUAUCACCCAUCAAGUCAAUCUCGAAAGAUGUCUAUUGGAGUUAUGGCCGACUCACAACCCAAGAGAAACCCCCCUUGUCCAGAUAAGGUUGUUGGAGAUGCUAUUGGUAGAGCUGAAGAGUUGAAAGCAACCACAGUAGCCGAUUUUCAUGAUAAGAUCAAGAUGAAAAUACUAUAGUUUUCGGUUAUCUAUGUUAGUGACAAUAGUCUUGCUUCUCCUUUAGCUGCUAAGCAACUUAAAGCAAUAUCAAUUAGCAGUGUAAAGCAAGCACACAUCACUACUACACUGGCUUAAUGCACAAUAGAUUAAUAUUUUCACGAA